ensembl:misc_RNA
UUGCCAGCCCUGGAGAAUAUAGUCAUCUAUUUAUCCACAGAACAGAUAGGCAACAGUAGCAUCAUUUUCCACAUUGCUGGGUCCUAUAUGUUUCAAUGCUCUUCUGAAAAGAUCCAUUCUAGAGUGACUUAGUCUCUGUGCCCAUUCAAUCCAUGGCCUUU